rnacentral:tRNA from 1 species
AACGAUAUAUUUUAUUAAGAAUAUUGGGUUUGCGUCUCAAGGGUGGAUAGUCUUCCUUUCGUUA